ACAAUAAAAAUAAUCAUAAUCUUGAAUCUUAAUCUUUUUAAUAUAGGCGGAAUAGUCUGGGAGACCCCUUUACUUGUCCAUUUUUAUUAUCCCGGUGUUCGUACUUACGGAUUUGCCAACUAAACCCUUCUACCCUUUAAAAUUUAGCAUUGUAAACCCCUCUGACAUCUUCCCCCACCCCACCCUCGUUUCUUUCCCCCCAGCCCACCCUUCAUUCUUCCCCAUCCCCUCCUCCAUUUCUUCCCCCUCCCCAUUUUCACCACCUUCACAACUUCAAUCAAUAGUUGAGAAAAAUAAUUUUCAUCUCCCUUUGUCUUCCUCAUAUUUUCUUUAUACACAAACCCAAAAAUACAGAGAAACAAAUCAAUAAUUUUCAGAUUGAUUAAUUUUCAAAGUUGUUGGAGAUCUUUCCUCGAACCCGAGAACAAGAGAAAAUGUUGAGCUUAAAAUUGCAUUCAACGGCUCUGGCAAAAUGUUGAGCUUUGACGCAAUGAAGUAGACUGAUGGUAAUUAGUGAUUUUGGUGGUGGAUGGUGGUGGUGGUGGGUGGAAGUGGAGAUGGGAGGGUGGAGAGAGAGAGAAAGGUUUUUUUUUUUUUUUUUUUUAAGAAAAAGGAAUAAUUUUUUUUUUUUCACAAAGCUAAUUUUUAUAAAAAUAUAAAUGAUGAUAUGACAUUAAUUUAUCCAGGUGGAUCUGAAGUGUCCUUCAUGUCAGGGCGAGUGUGUUACACACAGCGUCAGAGGGGUUUACAAUGCUCAGUUUUAAAGGAUAGAAGAGUUUAGUUGGCAAACCUGUAAGUACGAAUACCGGAAUGACAAAAAUGGACAAGUACAGGAGCCUCCCAAACUAUUUUGCCUUUAAUAUAUAAUUACCGUAUAAUUUGUGUAUAAUUAAUUAGACUCUGUUAUACAAUAGUUAUAUACUGAUUCACUGAGUAUAUAGGAGACAAGUAUACAUUCUUACAGUUAGGCAGGUAAAACUAUAUUAGUUGUCUGGCUAGAAAUGUUAAAGAGCCCUAAUUGUUUCAAGUGAUCCGACUAGUUGGGCCUUUCGCUUGAUACUGUAUUGGUCCAUUUUCAUUACAUGAUCCUUGGGCUCU